CGGACGGGUGAGUAACGCGUGGGCAACCUGGCCUAUACAGGGGGAUAACAGGGAGAAAUUCCUGCUAAUACCGCAUAAGACCACAGUAUCGCAUGGUACUGGGGUCAAAGGAGAGAUUCGGUAUAGGAUGGGCUCGCGUCCCAUUAGCUAGUUGGGGGUGCAACGGACCACCAAGGCGACGAUGGGUAGCCGACCUGAGAGGGUGAUCGGCCACACUGGGACUGAGACACGGCCCAG
rnacentral:rRNA from 1 species